AGGUAAGUAGCCUAUGCCCAUUGAGGCAUGAUAGUUCAGGGAAUUCGGCCAAUUAGAGCUGUAACUUCGGGAUAAAGCUUGGCUCUGAUGAAAAUCAGAACCGAUUGUUACGCGGAGAGCCCAACUGUUUAAUAAAAACGUAGUGUCGCGCUGUGGUAGUAUAGCCAGUGAACGCGACAUGAAUCCUGCUCAGUGCUGUGUCUGUUAAUAUGGUUCAAGCCAACGAAGCACCGGUAAAUAGCUGGGGUAACUAUGACUCUUAUCAAAGUAGCGAAAUACCUCGUCACUUAAUUAGUGACCUGCAUGAACGGAGCUAUGAGGUUCUCACUGUCCCAAACUGUCUCUCAGCGAACCAACUGUAGUGGGAACGGUCACUAGAUAUCCAGCGGGGAAAGAAGACCCUGUAGAGCUUCACUUUGGUCUAGUCUUGUAUAGUUCCUGCGGGGGUGUAGACUAGGUGGGAGAGCAAUCGAUUCUGAAAAACCACUACCCUGUUUGGAAUUAUGCUUACCUAUCACAAGGAAUAGGACUAGAUAGAAAGUUUGGCUGGGGCGGCACACCUUCGAAAGAGCAGCGAAGGUGUCCUAAGUUGAGCUCAGUGAGGACAGAAAUCUCACGUUGAGGAUAAGGCCAAAAGCUCAAUUUACUGUGCCUUUUUGUACUAGGAUCAGUUACGAAAGUAAGGCCUAACGAUCCCUAAAUAGCCUCAGGUGCGUGAGGAUUGGGGUGACAGACAAGUUACCUCCGGGACAACUGGCUUGUGGCUGCUAAGAGAUCAAAUCAACGCAGCUUUUUGAUUCUUCGAUGUCGGCUCUUCCUAUCCUAGUGAUGUACAAGUUGCUAAGGGUCGGAUUGUUCACCCGUAUUAGGGAUCGUGAGCUGGGUUUAGACCGUCGUGAGCCAGGUUUGUUUUAUCCUACUGGAUAUAGCAUCAUGAUAGUAGAUUGAUUUAGUACGAGAGGAACUGUUGAUUAUGGCCUCUGGUUAGCGAUUAUCGGAAACGGGUAUGUCGCGCAGCUACGCCGUCUGGGAUA
rfam:Trichomonas vaginalis G3, whole genome shotgun sequence.